CCUACGGGAGGCAGCAGUGGGGGAUAUUGCACAAUGGGGGAAACCCUGAUGCAGCGACGCCGCGUGGGUGAAGAAGUAUUUCGGUAUGUAAAGCCCUAUCAGCAGGGAAGAAAGAAGACGGUACCUGACUAAGAAGCCCCGGCUAACUACGUGCCAGCAGCCGCGGUAAUACGUAGGGGGCGAGCGUUAUCCGGAUUCACUGGGUGUAAAGGGAGCGUAGACGGCCGUGCAAGCCAGGAGUGAAAGCCCGGGGCCCAACCCCGGGACUGCCCUUGGAACUGUGCGGCUGGAGUGCGGGAGGGGCAGGCGGAAUUCCUGGUGUAGCGGUGAAAUGCGUAGAUAUCAGGAGGAACACCGGCGGCGAAGGCGGCCUGCUGGACCGCGACUGACGUUGAGGCUCGAAAGCGUGGGGAGCGAACAGGAUUAGAUACCCCGGUAGUC
rnacentral:rRNA from 1 species